CAGGAAAGAUAGAGAAGAUCAAGCCUCCUCCGUCCCCCACCACAGAAGGGCCCGUCUCGCAGUCUGACCAGCCACCCGAGGAGCCUGCAGGAGCCCAGCGACCCAAGAACCUGAUGCAGACCCUCAUGGAGGAUUACGAAACACACAAAACUAAGAGACGAGAAAGGAUGGACGACAGUGCGGUCCUCGAGGCGACCAGGGUGAACCGCAGAAAGAGUGCUCUGGCGCUGCGUUGGGAAGCCGGCAUUUAUGCCAACCGGGAGGAGGAUGAAUAACCACGCUGCAGCGCGAAGACAGCGACCAGGCAUGCCGAAACCAAAAAGAGAGAAAGGAAGAAAAAAAAACAAACACACAAAACACCACGAAAGCAGCAGCAUUCUAGUCCAAUAUUUAUUAAAUACACAACAAACUCAAUGAUGCACAUAGACACAGAAAUGAUCCAACCCCUGGUAAUCCUAAAACAACAGGAAAAACCCACCUAGAAAAUACCCCCUUCUCCUUCCCUCUAUCCGCCCUCUGAAAUAAUGCAAUGGGGAGGGUGCAGGGAGUGGGAGCCCUUGGGGGGACAAGGGGGCGGUUGUCCCCACCGGAGAGGCUGCAGGCGCGUGGCGGGAGGUCGGCGUGAAGGAGCCUGCAGCCAGGGCUCACGCUCACGCUUUCUGCUGACCACAUUGACAGCCCUGCCUUGCUCCCAGGAUCACCGUCCCCCCAGCAGCUCCCGUCGGACCCUCCGGCAGUUCCUUCGCCUCCCACAGCCGCUGCACCGAGACCGUCGGCGUUACUUCAGCAAACUCUAUCCAGCCACAAAACACAACGAUAAUUGCCCUUUGUUGCUAUUUCUUUGAGGGGACUGAAGGGUUGGGUUUGGGAUUGGGGUUUUUUUGGGGGGGUGGGUUCUGCUCCCCUUUCUAGUAAUUUAUCUGUUUAAAAGAAAAAAAAAGCAAACAGGGAGGCAGUUACUGCAAAUGUACAAUCCAGUAGACUCAUAAAACAGUCCUUGUGUUGCAAACACAAGCCAUCACAAUUUAGGAGUGGAAUAGAUGGGGAUGAGAGCUAAGCCAAAUGGAUUACCUUAGCUUUAGGAUCCUAUAUGCUUGCAAUAUCACCUGAGCUCCAGGUUCUCAGAGCAUAUUUACAUAACAAAGUUUCUAAAUAGAAAAUCUGUAUUUAGCGGAUAACAACUAUUUUUUGAUGGUGGGGAGGGAAAAGAAUGGCAUAUGUGUAAAAUCUAUGAAGAUGGAUAAUCUGAUGUAGAAAGCUAGUGGGAAAGGGAUACAAAUAAAGGACAUUUAAUUUUUAAAUGAGGCAAUAAUUGAACUAAGCCAAACUCUGGCCUAGAAAGAGGUAUGAAAUAAAGAAGAUAGAUAGUUACGUCUUCAACUAUAUUUAUACAACAUAAAAAGCCUUUGAAGUAGAGUGCUUUGUGGAAGUCUUCACGUUUCCAGGCAACAAAAAAGCUAAAGGGCAUAAUGAGUUGGAAGGA